rnacentral:rRNA from 1 species
AACGAACGCUGGCGGCAUGCUUAACACAUGCAAGUCGAUCGCAUCCUUCUGCGUGCGCGGCGGCCGGGUUGGUAACGCGUUGGAACGUGCCCUCUUCUCCUGCAUACCCUCGGGAAACUGCGAGUAAUGCCUUAUACGCCCGCCAGGUGAAAGAUUUAUCGGAGGAGGCUCGGGCCGCGUUGGAUUCGGUUGGUGGGGGGGUAACGUCCUAACAAGACGACGAUUCGUUGCUGGUUUGCGAGGAUGAUCAUCCAGACUGGGACUGAGACACGGCCCAGACUACUACGGGAGGCAGCAGUGGGGAAUCUUGGACAAUGGGGGCAACCCUGAACCAGCCAUGCCGCGUGAAAGAUGAAGGCCUUAGGGUUGUAAAGAUCUUGCAGCUGGGAAGAUAAUGACGGUACCAGCAGAAGAAGCCCCGGCUAACUACGUG